GAGGGUAUAGCUCAGUGAUAGAGUGUGUGCUUAGCAUGCAUGAGGUCCUGGGUUCAAUCCCUACUACCUCCA
rnacentral:tRNA from 1 species